UUAAGCGACUAAGCGUACACGGUGGAUGCCCUGGCAGUCAGAGGCGAUGAAGGACGUGCUAAUCUGCGAUAAGCGUCGGUGAGGUGAUAUGAACCGUUAUAACCGGCGAUUUCCGAAUGGGGAAACCCAGUGUGUUUCGACACACUAUCAUUAACUGAAUCCAUAGGUUAAUGAGGCGAACCGGGGGAACUGAAACAUCUAAGUACCCCGAGGAAAAGAAAUCAACCGAGAUUCCCCCAGUAGCGGCGAGCGAACGGGGAGGAGCCCAGAGCCUGAAUCAGUGUGUGUGUUAGUGGAAGCGUCUGGAAAGGCGCGCGAUACAGGGUGACAGCCCCGUACACAAAAAUGCACAUAUUGUGAGCUCGAUGAGUAGGGCGGGACACGUGGUAUCCUGUCUGAAUAUGGGGGGACCAUCCUCCAAGGCUAAAUACUCCUGACUGACCGAUAGUGAACCAGUACCGUGAGGGAAAGGCGAAAAGAACCCCGGCGAGGGGAGUGAAAAAGAACCUGAAACCGUGUACGUACAAGCAGUGGGAGCCUCUUAAUGGGGUGACUGCGUACCUUUUGUAUAAUGGGUCAGCGACUUAUAUUCUGUAGCAAGGUUAACCGAAUAGGGGAGCCGAAGGGAAACCGAGUCUUAACUGGGCGUUAAGUUGCAGGGUAUAGACCCGAAACCCGGUGAUCUAGCCAUGGGCAGGUUGAAGGUUGGGUAACACUAACUGGAGGACCGAACCGACUAAUGUUGAAAAAUUAGCGGAUGACUUGUGGCUGGGGGUGAAAGGCCAAUCAAACCGGGAGAUAGCUGGUUCUCCCCGAAAGCUAUUUAGGUAGCGCCUCGUGAAUUCAUCUCCGGGGGUAGAGCACUGUUUCGGCAAGGGGGUCAUCCCGACUUACCAACCCGAUGCAAACUGCGAAUACCGGAGAAUGUUAUCACGGGAGACACACGGCGGGUGCUAACGUCCGUCGUGAAGAGGGAAACAACCCAGACCGCCAGCUAAGGUCCCAAAGUCAUGGUUAAGUGGGAAACGAUGUGGGAAGGCCCAGACAGCCAGGAUGUUGGCUUAGAAGCAGCCAUCAUUUAAAGAAAGCGUAAUAGCUCACUGGUCGAGUCGGCCUGCGCGGAAGAUGUAACGGGGCUAAACCAUGCACCGAAGCUGCGGCAGCGACACUAUGUGUUGUUGGGUAGGGGAGCGUUCUGUAAGCCUGUGAAGGUGGCCUGUGAGGGUUGCUGGAGGUAUCAGAAGUGCGAAUGCUGACAUAAGUAACGAUAAAGCGGGUGAAAAGCCCGCUCGCCGGAAGACCAAGGGUUCCUGUCCAACGUUAAUCGGGGCAGGGUGAGUCGACCCCUAAGGCGAGGCCGAAAGGCGUAGUCGAUGGGAAACAGGUUAAUAUUCCUGUACUUGGUGUUACUGCGAAGGGGGGACGGAGAAGGCUAUGUUGGCCGGGCGACGGUUGUCCCGGUUUAAGCGUGUAGGCUGGUUUUCCAGGCAAAUCCGGAAAAUCAAGGCUGAGGCGUGAUGACGAGGCACUACGGUGCUGAAGCGACAAAUGCCCUGCUUCCAGGAAAAGCCUCUAAGCAUCAGGUAACAUCAAAUCGUACCCCAAACCGACACAGGUGGUCAGGUAGAGAAUACCAAGGCGCUUGAGAGAACUCGGGUGAAGGAACUAGGCAAAAUGGUGCCGUAACUUCGGGAGAAGGCACGCUGAUAUGUAGGUGAAGCGACUUGCUCGUGGAGCUGAAAUCAGUCGAAGAUACCAGCUGGCUGCAACUGUUUAUUAAAAACACAGCACUGUGCAAACACGAAAGUGGACGUAUACGGUGUGACGCCUGCCCGGUGCCGGAAGGUUAAUUGAUGGGGUUAGCGGUAACGCGAAGCUCUUGAUCGAAGCCCCGGUAAACGGCGGCCGUAACUAUAACGGUCCUAAGGUAGCGAAAUUCCUUGUCGGGUAAGUUCCGACCUGCACGAAUGGCGUAAUGAUGGCCAGGCUGUCUCCACCCGAGACUCAGUGAAAUUGAACUCGCUGUGAAGAUGCAGUGUACCCGCGGCAAGACGGAAAGACCCCGUGAACCUUUACUAUAGCUUGACACUGAACAUUGAGCCUUGAUGUGUAGGAUAGGUGGGAGGCUUUGAAGUGUGGACGCCAGUCUGCAUGGAGCCGACCUUGAAAUACCACCCUUUAAUGUUUGAUGUUCUAACGUGGGCCCCUUACCGGGGUUGCGGACAGUGUCUGGUGGGUAGUUUGACUGGGGCGGUCUCCUCCUAAAGAGUAACGGAGGAGCACGAAGGUUGGCUAAUCCUGGUCGGACAUCAGGAGGUUAGUGCAAUGGCAUAAGCCAGCUUGACUGCGAGCGUGACGGCGCGAGCAGGUGCGAAAGCAGGUCAUAGUGAUCCGGUGGUUCUGAAUGGAAGGGCCAUCGCUCAACGGAUAAAAGGUACUCCGGGGAUAACAGGCUGAUACCGCCCAAGAGUUCAUAUCGACGGCGGUGUUUGGCACCUCGAUGUCGGCUCAUCACAUCCUGGGGCUGAAGUAGGUCCCAAGGGU
rnacentral:rRNA from 1 species